AAACAAAAAGAACUAAAAUACUUGGCAACUCUGCCGAUGCGCUGGUGUACGUGCCAACACAGACAAAAGGCUAAAAUACCAGCCAAAACAGAAUUCAGUUGCCAUAUUUUAAAUGAAAUUGCGAAAAUUAAAAUUUAUUUACUCGGUAGACUUCACGAAUUUCAUGCAUGCAUUAAGCGAAUAUGCAAAGAGUACAAAGGAGUACAUUUACACACGCACGUAGGCCAGUGUUGGUGCGACUGAUUGAAUGAACCUCCCUCAACCCAAAAAACAAAAAACCAACAAUAAAAACAAUAACAUUGAUAAUAAUAAAACACGUCUCGCUCAAGGUAACAAGUGUUUAAACGUUUAAACAUUCGACAAGGGAAUUAAUAUUCCUCAGGUUAGUGUACUUAGAAUCUAGCCUAGCUCCGCGGGCAAACAAAAUAUGUUAGAGGUCAUAUGAAUAGUGGUGCUUGAACUUUUGGAAGUAAUUAUACGAAAACGAAACAAAAAACGAGCUUUUUGUAAGAAGAUAACGCCAUUUCUGAAAAUAAACUCUAAAUUUGAUAAA